rnacentral:rRNA from 1 species
UGCGUAGGUGGCGCGCUAAGUCAGGUGUGAAAUUCCGGAGCUUAACUCCGAAACUGCAUUUGAUACUGGUGUGCUUGAGGACUGGAGAGGAGACUGGAAUUCACGGUGUAGCAGUGAAAUGCGUAGAUAUCGUGAGGAAGACCAGUGGCGAAGGCGGGUCUCUGGACAGUUCCUGACACUGAGGCACGAAGGCCAGGGGAGCAAACG